GACGAACGCUGGCGGCGUGCUUAACACAUGCAAGUCGAACGCUGAAGCUCAGCUUUUGUUGGGUGGAUGAGUGGCGAACGGGUGAGUAACACGUGAGUAACCUGCCCCCUUCUUUGGGAUAACGCCCGGAAACGGGUGCUAAUACUGGAUAUUCACUGGUCUUCGCAUGGGGGUUGGUGGAAAGGGUUUUUCUGGUGGGGGAUGGGCUCGCGGCCUAUCAGCUUGUUGGUGGGGUGAUGGCCUACCAAGGCUUUGACGGGUAGCCGGCCUGAGAGGGUGACCGGUCACAUUGGGAAUGAGAUACGGCCCAGACUCCUACGGGAGGCAGCAGUGGGGAAUAAUGCACAAUGGGCGCAAGCCUGAUGCAGCGACGCCGCGUGAGGGAUGGAGGCCUUCGGGUUGUGAACCUCUUUCGCUCAUGGUCAAGCCGCAACAAUGGUUGUGGUGAGGGUAGUGGGUAAAGAAGCGCCGGCUAACUACGUG
rnacentral:rRNA from 1 species